rnacentral:rRNA from 1 species
GAUGAACGCUGGCGGCGUGCCUAAUACAUGCAAGUCGAGCGAACAGACGAGGAGCUUGCUCCUCUGACGUUAGCGGCGGACGGGUGAGUAACACGUGGAUAACCUACCUAUAAGACUGGGAUAACUUCGGGAAACCGGAGCUAAUACCGGAUAAUAUAUUGAACCGCAUGGUUCAAUAGUGAAAGACGGUUUUGCUGUCACUUAUAGAUGGAUCCGCGCCGCAUUAGCUAGUUGGUAAGGUAACGGCUUACCAAGGCAACGAUGCGUAGCCGACCUGAGAGGGUGAUCGGCCACACUGGAACUGAGACACGGUCCAGGCUCCUACGGGAAGCAGCAGUAGGGAAUCUUCCGCAAUGGGCGAAAGCUUGACGGAGCAACGCCGCGUGAGUGAUGAAGGUCUUCGGAUCGUAAAACUCUGUUAUUAGGGAAGAACAAAUGUGUAAGUAACUAUGCACGUCUUGACGGUACCUAAUCAGAAAGCCACGGCUAACUACGUG